UGGGGCCUUGGGGCAGAGAAGCUGAGAGCCCAUGAUCGAUUCAUCUGCUUGCUGAUCUCAUCAGUUAAAAUAUUGAGAAAGAUUGAAACGUUGGGAUGAGUGCAAAAGGUGAGGGAGUUUUCAGUGCCAUCUACCAGCCCUCUGACUCAUUGCUACCAAGGGGAGCUCCAUGUGUUCAGACAGUCUCUCUCUCCCCUAAUGCUGUCGGAGGGUGGUACCAAAGUUCUUGGUCUGUAGUUUGAGAAUUGGACUGUUUUUUUGUGUUUCUGUGUUUUUGCUUGUUCUUUCUUGAUGUGUGUGCGCAAUUUGUUUUUUUUAUAUGUGAGGGGGAGUUGAGGUUCUUGGUGCAGUUGGCACAAUUAGUUUUUCUUUGGUGGGGGUUGAUGUUUUUUCUUUGAAAAGGUUCAGUGGUUUUACUUGUUUCAUCACUGUCCAUGGCAAUCUGGAGAAGACAAGUCUCACAGCUUUAUACUGCAGACAUACUUUGAGAAGUAUACUUCGAACUUUGAACCUGAGCCUGAUGGUGUUGGAUUUCAGGCUUUCAUAACUCCUGCCCAAUGGUGGCAGCAAGAAGAGCACACAGAUGGCCUGGUUCAUGGGGAUCCUUGAUGAUAUAUGCCACCUUGUUGAGACAGCACCUCCUGUAUAUGCUAUCCUUGAUGGCGAUGGCUUGGCUUGCAAGAGUGUUGGUCUCAUCUCCGUCUGUACCUGUUGAGUUUGCUCUCCAUUUUAGUGCAGCGACUGCACCAGUCAGCCUCUUCUCUUUGAGCUCUGGAUUCCUGUGCCUGAACACUUCGAUAGUCUCCAACAUAUAGUUUGCC